AGCUAAGAGUUUGUCUUGAGUCUCAGAGGAGACUUUGGACUUGGAAUUUUCAGCAAUAUUGGAAAUCUUAAGAUUUUGACAACACUUAGAGGGCCCCAAAAUGCAAGAGUAAUGAUGCUGGCAAUGUGGAUCUGCCAAAGAGAACCUGUUGGGCUUAAACUAUUGAGUGCUUCCUUUAAGAAUUAUCUCACAUCAUCAUAAGAAGAAGGGGGGCGAGGGUUGAACCCAGGGCCUUACACAUGCUAGGUAAAUGCUUACUCCCUGAACUAUACUUCCAGCCA